UGUCAUCCCCUUAUAUAAAGACUCUCUUUCAUUUUUUCCCUCUCUUUGGCUUUUGUUGGGCCUAGUUUAUUCUCUUUCAAGGACUCUUGACUCUCCCUUUUCUUUCUCUCUCUAAGAAUUCAUCAAAAGCCCUUUUAACUUUUACUUGAUCUCAGUGCACCUCUCGUGGUGAGAGGGGUGUGAGGACAUGGAUGAGGUUGUCCUUUUAUAAAUAAU
rnacentral:lncRNA from 1 species